GAGUGGUGUUGACCCACAUGCUUUUGGAAAUGUUAUGAUGCCAGUGAUGUACCAGCAGAUGUUCCAGGUGCCUCCGAAGCCAAAUGAGACCGUGCAGGAUACUUCAGCCAAUGGAAAAAGUAAGCGACCUCGCGGUCAGAAGCUCACAGAGACAUCCCAACAGGCAAAUGGAACCCCAGCAUCUGCAUCUGGCUAGGGUGGACUACUAACAUUUUGAACAGGAUUUCUGUACAUACGUUGACUUCCCAGAAAUUUUACAUAUGAACGCUGGCACUAACAAUUACCUCAAUGUUGUCCAAGGUAUUUGGCCCAGGACUGGAAAUUGUCUCUCGCACACUUUCUUUUUGUGUGUGGCUGAUUUCUGCAAGACAGGUUCCACCUAAUGUACAAGUCCCCUUGUCCUUUUUAUGAUAUGUAAAUGAAUGUUCUUGGAACAGCUCUAUCAUGGCUCAUGAGUACGUGUCAGUUGCCUUCGAAUUCCCAUUGUCGAUACCAGAUCGAUGGCUAAUGCAUAUAUAGAAAUAUAAAGGGGACAGAUUAUGAUUA